rnacentral:rRNA from 1 species
CGGACGGGUGAGUAAUGCUUAGGAAUCUGCCUAUUAGUGGGGGACAACAUCUCGAAAGGGAUGCUAAUACCGCAUACGUCCUACGGGAGAAAGCAGGGGACCUUCGGGCCUUGCGCUAAUAGAUGAGCCUAAGUCGGAUUAGCUAGUUGGUGGGGUAAAGGCCUACCAAGGCGACGAUCUGUAGCGGGUCUGAGAGGAUGAUCCGCCACACUGGGACUGAGACACGGCCCAGACUCCUACGGGAGGCAGCAGUGGGGAAUAUUGGACAAUGGGGGGAACCCUGAUCCAGCCAUGCCGCGUGUGUGAAGAAGGCCUUUUGGUUGUAAAGCACUUUAAGCGAGGAGGAGGCUACCGAGAUUAAUACUCUUGGAUAGUGGACGUUACUCGCAGAAUAAGCACCGGCUAACUCUGUGCCAGCAGCCGCGGUAAUACAGAGGGUGCAAGCGUUAAUCGGAUUUACUGGGCGUAAAGCGCGCGUAGGUGGCCAAUUAAGUCAAAUGUGAAAUCCCCGAGCUUAACUUGGGAAUUGCAUUCGAUACUGGUUGGCUAGAGUAUGGGAGAGGAUGGUAGAAUUCCAGGUGUAGCGGUGAAAUGCGUAGAGAUCUGGAGGAAUACCGAUGGCGAAGGCAGCCAUCUGGCCUAAUACUGACACUGAGGUGCGAAAGCAUGGGGAGCAAACAGGAUUAGAU